AAGCUGAUUGAUCCUGCCAGUAGUCAUAUGCUUGUCUCAGAGAUAAAGUCAUGCAUGUCUAAGUAUAUACCUUAAAAC
rnacentral:ncRNA from 1 species